rnacentral:rRNA from 1 species
UACGAAGGGGGCUAGCGUUGCUCGGAAUCACUGGGCGUAAAGCGCACGUAGGCGGACUCUUAAGUCGGUGGUGAAAUCCUGGAGCUCAACUCCAGAACUGCCUUCGAUACUGAGAGUCUCGAGUCCGAGAGAGGUGAGUGGAACUGCGAGUGUAGAGGUGAAAUUCGUAGAUAUUCGCAAGAACACCAGUGGCGAAGGCGGCUCACUGGCUCGGUACUGACGCUGAGGUGGACGAAAGCGUGGGAG